rnacentral:rRNA from 1 species
CCUUCGUGGGGGAACCUGACAGCCUUCCGCGUGUGCGAUGAAGGCCUUCGGGUUGUAAAGCACUUUUGGCAGGAAAGAAAUCGCACAAAUUAAUACUUUGUGUGGAUGACGGUACCUGCAGAAUAAGCACCGGCUAACUACGUGCCAGCAGCCGCGGUAAUACGUAGGGUGCAAGCGUUAAUCGGAAUUACUGGGCGUAAAGCGUGCGCAGGCGGUUCGGAAAGAGAGGUGUGAAAUCCCAGGGCUUAACCUUGGAACUGCACUUUUAACUCCCGAGCUAGAGUAUGUCAGAGGGGGGUGGAAUUCCGCGUGUAGCAGUGAAAUGCGUAGAUAUGCGGAGGAACACCGAUGGCGAAGGCAGCCCCCUGGGAUAAUACUGACGCUCAUGCACGAAA